rnacentral:rRNA from 1 species
GACGAACGCUGGCGGCGUGCUUAACACAUGCAAGUCGAACGGAGUGGCGAACGGGUGAGUAACACGUGGGUGAUCUGCCUUGCACUUCGGGAUAAGCUUGGGAAACUGGGUCUAAUACCGGAUAGUGCAAGAUGAGCUCGCGGCCUAUCAGCUUGUUGGUGGGGUAAUGGCCUCCCAAGGCGUAGACGGGUAGCCGGCCUGGGAGGGUGUACGGGCACAUUGGGACUGAGGUACGGAGCAGUCUGGUACGGGAUGCAACAGUGGGGAAUAUUGCACAAUGGGGGGAAGCCUGAUGCAGCGACGCCGGGUGGGGGAUGAAGGCCUUCGGGUUGUAAACUCCUUUCGACAGGGACGCGGUACCUGUAUAAGAAGCACCGGCUAACUACGUGCCAGCAGCCGCGGUAAUUC